GACGAACGCUGGCGGCGUGCUUAACACAUGCAAGUCGAACGGUAAGGUCCGGCUUUUGUUGUGUGCUCGUGUGGCGAACGGGGGAGUAAAACGUGUGUAACCUGCCCCUUACUUUGGGGUAACUUCAGGAAACUGGGGCUAAUAUCGGAUAGGAGCUCCUGCUGCAUGGUGGGUGUUGGAGAGUUUCGGCGUUUGGGGAAGGACUCGUGGCUUAGCAGCGUGUUGGUGGGGUGGUGGCUUACUAAGGCACUGACGGGUAGCCGGCCUGAGAGGGUGACCGGCCACAGUGGGACUGAGAUACGGGCCAGACGCAUACGGGAGGCAGCAGUGGGGAAUAGUGCACGAUGGGCGGAGGCCUGAUGCAGCAACGCCGCGUGCGGGAGGACGGCUGUCGGGUUGGAAACCGCGUUAGCCUGUGACGAAGAGUGAGUGACGGUAAUGGGUAAAGAAGCACCGGCUAACUACGUG
rnacentral:rRNA from 1 species